UUAUUAUCAUUUUCCAAAACUAAGAUUUGACUAUCUUAUUAACGUUUUUGUAAAAAAUUUGCAAAAACGUUAAUAAGAUAGUCAAAUCUUAAUUUUGAAAAAUGAUAAUAAAGAGAAGAGUAUUAUCGAAAUAUCAAAACAAUUCAAAGAUUACAAUAAAUGUCCCUCUUUAUUCCUGGCAAUAAUGAUGUCUGUGAAUGAAGUUUUGCAACGAAUCAAUCAGGAAUUAACGAAAACUGUAAAAAGAUCAGUGUAAUCUAAUAUUCGAACAAGAACACAACGUUUUUGUGGAAUAGCGUCCGUCCCAUUCCCGGCUGACGAUCCGGCCACGCGGAGGCAUUAACAGCGAUGGCAGUGAAUCAUCGCCACGAACGUCGCGGUAAAGACAACACGUGUCUUAUGGAGGAGUCUUAUAUCCUAAAAGAUAAGGCAGGCACGCGCUAUAUCACGGAAUCUAGGAUGAAACGCUCGUUUCAAAUAUGCCCAAAUUGAAUCCCAGUGCCAUUUAAAAAAAGUGACGUUUGACUUGGAUCUCGAAAACAAGUGACGAUAUAAAGUUGGAAAAAAUACAGAUAGUAGGACAUAACCACUCCUACCCUCAUACCAAAUUUCAAAGAAUUCCGAUAACCGAUUUCAAAAUAUUUAGCCAUUUUAGCCACUCUAUAUAUCCACAACAGGGUAAACCUGAAGAUAAAGGAUGGAGUCAAAGGGGCCGGGCCCUGUUCCCUCUGGAAAAAGUGGAAGCGUGGGACUCGGAUUUGAAUUCGGAUCCUCCAGGCUUCAGUACGCGGCCAUUCGGCCAACGAAUCUGCAAUGAUCACUGGAAAAUUUUGUCCGUCACGUAAUCGAUAUCAACUAUCUGGAUUGGUCAGGGGUGCUAUUAAUCCAUUAUUAGGCAGUUGUUAUGGAUAAUAAAGGAUACCCAGAAGACCGUGGUCGAUCGGACGGUAUCCAGAAAUACGCGGCACUUCCAUCGGUGGGAUCGAAUUCAAUAUCGGUUCUUUUCAUUUACCUAGCGGCAUUUCUAAAUCUUUCGGCCGGAAUCGGAGUCCGGUGGUCCAACACCUUGGUCGGUUCACGCGUUUCAUCCCCACCCAUAGCCAUAGAAAACGAAAACUUAGGUUAAACAUACAAAGAAGUGGCUAAAGCGCCGCCGGUCGAAACGGUGGUGGAUGGGUUCUGAUUUCUUUCGCAUAUUUUACACUCCUUUCCAAUCAGGGAGAUGAGUAAGGGGUGGAGCCAGUU
rnacentral:lncRNA from 1 species